rnacentral:rRNA from 1 species
UACGUAGGUGGCAAGCGUUGUCCGGAUUUAUUGGGCGUAAAGGGCGCGCAGGCGGUUCGUUUAGUCCGAGGUGAAAUCUCCCGGCUCAACUGGGAGGGGUCUUUGGAUACUGGCGGACUUGAGGUGAGCAGAGGUGAGCGGAAUUCUGGGUGUAGUGGUGAAAUGCGCAGAUAUCGGGAGGAACACCAGUAGCGAAGGCGGCUCGCUGGGCCACACCUGACGCUGAGACGCGAAAGCUAGGGGAGCGAACAGG